AUACGGAGGGUGCGAGCGUUAAUGGGAAUCACUGGGCGUAAAGCGCGCGUAGGCGGUUAGAUAAGUCUGAUGUGAAAGCCCUGGGCUCAACCUGGGAAUGGCAUUGGAUACUGUUUAACUAGAGUGCAGGAGAGGAGAGUGGAAUUCUCGGUGUAGCGGUGAAGUGCGUAGAUAUCGGGAGGAACACCAGUGGCGAAGGAGGCUCUCUGGACUGACACUGACGCUGAGGCUCGAAAGCGUGGGGAGCAAACCGGAUUAGAUACCCGGGUAGUCC
rnacentral:rRNA from 1 species